AAUCAACGCUGGCGGCGUGCCUCAGACAUGCAAGUCGAACGAUUAAGACUUCCUUCGGGAAGUGUAUAAAGUGGCGCACGGGUGAGUAACACGUAAGUAGUCUACCUUCGAGUGGGGAAUAACGUCCGGAAACGGACGCUAAUACCGCAUAAUGCAGCGGCACCUAAUGGUGACAGUUGUUAAAGAUUUAUCGCUUGAAGAGGAGCUUGCGGCAGAUUAGCUAGUUGGAAGGUAAUGGCUUACCAAGGCUACGAUCUGUAACCGGUCUAAGAGGACGGUCGGUCACACUGACACUGAAUAACGGGUCAGACUCCUACGGGAGGCAGCAGUCGGGAAUUUUGGGCAAUGGGCGAAAGCCUGACCCAGCAACGCCGCGUGAAGGAUGAAGUAUUUCGGUAUGUAAACUUCGAAAGAAUGGGAAGAAUAAAUGACGGUACCAUUUAUAAGGUCCGGCUAACUACGUGCCAGCAGCCGCGGUAAG
rnacentral:rRNA from 1 species